GUGAAAAGCACCCCGGAAGGGGAGUGAAAGAGAUCCUGAAACCGUGUGCCUACAACUAGUCAGAGCCCGUUAACGGGUGAUGGCGUGCCUUUUGUAGAAUGAACCGGCGAGUUACGGUAUCGUGCAAGGUUAAGCUGAUGAAGCGGAGCCGCAGCGAAAGCGAGUCUGAAUAGGGCGCAUAAGUACGAUGCCGUAGACCCGAAACCGGGUGAUCUACCCAUGUCCAGGGUGAAGGUCGGGUAACACCGACUGGAGGCCCGAACCCACGCAAGUUGAAAAUUGCGGGGAUGAGGUGUGGGUAGGGGUGAAAUGCCAAUCGAACUCGGAAAUAGCUGGUUCUCCCCGAAAUAGCUUUAGGGCUAGCCUCGAGUGAUGAGUCUUGGAGGUAGAGCACUGAUUGGACGAGGGGUCCCCACAGGAUUACCGAAUUCAGUCAAACUCCGAAUGCCAAUGACUUUAACUCGGGAGUCAGACUGCGAGUGCUAAGAUCCGUAGUCAAGAGGGAAACAGCCCAGACCAUCAGCUAAGGUCCCCAAGUAUACGUUAAGUGGAAAAGGAUGUGGAGUUGCCCAGACAACCAGGAUGUUGGCUUAGAAGCAGCCAUCAUUGAAAGAGUGCGUAAUAGCUCACUGGUCGAGUGA
rnacentral:rRNA from 1 species